UACGUAGGUGGCGAGCGUUGUCCGGAUUUACUGGGCGUAAAGGGAGCGUAGGCGGACUUUUAAGUGAGAUGUGAAAUACUCGGGCUUAACUUGAGUGCUGCAUUUCAAACUGGAAGUCUAGAGUGCAGGAGAGGAGAAUGGAAUUCCUAGUGUAGCGGUGAAAUGCGUAGAGAUUAGGAAGAACACCAGUGGCGAAGGCGAUUCUCUGGACUGUAACUGACGCUGAGGCUCGAAAGCGUGGGGAGCAAACAGG
rnacentral:rRNA from 1 species